rnacentral:rRNA from 1 species
GACGUAGGGCGCGAGCGUUGUCCGGAUUUAUUGGGCGUAAAGAGCUCGUAGGCGGCUUGUUGCGUCAGCUGUGAAAACCCGCAGCUCAACUGUGGGCUUGCAGCUGAUACGGGCAGGCUUGAGUUCGGUAGGGGAGACUGGAAUUCCUGGUGUAGCGGUGAAAUGCGCAGAUAUCAGGAAGAACACCCGUGGCGAAGGCGGUUCUCUGGGACGGUACUGACGCUGAGACGCGAAAGCGUGGGGAGCGAACAGG